rnacentral:lncRNA from 1 species
CCAGGACUGACGCCACAGCCUGCAGCUCCUCCCCAAGCCCAGCCCCAGCCCUUGCCCUUCAAUCCUGAGACCCUGAGAUGCAUGGGUGGGGCUUUCAUCCGCUGGGGAGGCUGAGACCCGGGGGGCCACAGCUGGUUCCUGGACUCCAAAGCCCAGGACCCUUCCAAAUCCUGCCUGGACGGCACCGUGGCCAGGACCCCAGCCAGCACUUCCCUUUUCUGCGAGGGUUUUCUGUUUCUUUGAUUAUAAAAUAACCCCUGUUGGUGGGGGGAAAAAAUUAGCAAAAUAAAGAAAAGC